rnacentral:rRNA from 1 species
UACGGAGGAUCCAAGCGUUAUCCGGAAUCAUUGGGUUUAAAGGGUGCGUAGGCGGACUUGUAAGUCAGUGGUGAAAUCUCUCAGCUUAACUGAGAAACUGCCAUUGAUACUGCAGGUCUAGAGUAUAGAUGACGUUGGCGGAAUAUGACAUGUAGUGGUGAAAUACUUAGAUAUGUCAUAGAACACCGAUUGCGAAGGCAGCUAACGAAACCAUAAACUGACGCUGAGGCACGAAAGUGCGGGGAUCAAACAGG